GACGACACAGCAACAAGACGCCUUCUUGGAAGCAGAGAGAUGGGACCGUCAGCAGGCACCAAACCUGCUGGCACCUUGAUCUUAGGCUUCCUGGCCUCCAAAACUGUAAAGAAAAAGAAUGAAGAAAAAGAGAAAGAAGAGAAAGGGAAGAUGCAACAGGCAGCAGAUGGUUGGGAAAAAAUUAAAAGAGAAGAUGAGAAAUAUGAAGAAAGAGGAGAAGAUUUGAAGAAAAUAAAGCAAAAUGUUGAUUUGACUUAA
rnacentral:lncRNA from 1 species